GCUCAAGGCGUCGUGCGCAUUUGACCCUCCUUGGAACUCCGACUCAGUGCUUGGACGCC
rnacentral:ribozyme from 1 species